UACGUAGGGGGCGAGCGUUGUCCGGAGUUACUGGGCGUAAAGGGCGUGCAGGCGGUGCGGUAAGUUUAGCGUGACAGUCUCCGGCUUAACUGGAGAAGGCCGCUGAAAACUGCUGGACUUGAGGGCCAGAGAGGGACAUAGAAUUCCGGGUGGAGUGGUGAAAUGCGUAGAUAUCCGGAGGAAUACCAAAGGUGAAGGCAGUGUCCUGGCUGGCAACUGACGCUGAGGCGCGAAAGCUAGGGGGAGCGAACAGG
rnacentral:rRNA from 1 species